AAGAUCUCUGGUUUAGGUCCUACCGAAGAGAAGGACCUUUCUUGGAAAAGGAAUGCUCGUCUUGAAAUGGAUCGUGUCUUUAUAUAUGCGAAUCAUAGUUUGAUUAGUGACUACAACAUUGUAAAAACUUUAGUGUAGUUCUGAUUCAUAGUGUCUCAAUUGAUGAUUACACUGACAAGUUCUUGUUUCCAACUCUGUGUUGUUAUAGAGUGUGUUUAUUUGUGUGGAUCUUGGUGUUACAUUCUGUUUGAUGAAGCAAUCAAAUUCAAGAUAUAGAUACAAGUGCUGGUUCUUAUGAGAGCUUAUAAGUUUCAGCAAAAUUAAGGGAAACUGAAGUAAUGUGAGCUACAAAUUGAUUAAAUGGAGCUGGAGUGACAUAACUUCUUCCUUCGAGGUUCUCGGAACAAUAUGACAUCUUCUCAGUAGUGAUCUAUUGCUCUUGGAAUGGAUGGUAUGAAAGCGUCAUGGUUUCUUGUCAUAAAAGAGCUUAUCCAUCUCUGUUCAUUAGACUUGCCAGGGUUCUAUCAGCACUUAGCAGCGUGCCGGGGCGUCAAUCUUAACCGUCAUUUGCAAUUGGUGUCGCUAUGUUGACUAUGUUCCAACCAGAAAAUGGAGCUGCAGCGACAUGACUACUUCCUGCAAGGCAAUGGUGAGUGAUGCUCAGCUAACACUAACGUGCAUGGCCAGUGGAAAGUUCCGGAUAUUUCCUUACACCAAUAUCUCACAAGCCAGGACACAAGACCUCUGCACACUCGUCUGCACUUAGACAUGACCAAGGAUUCAACUCCUUUACACAUUUACUAUACUCACUCCAACACUUAGAUAAUUGCAUAUACCAAAACUCUCACCUGAAAUCACAAAUCUGUCAAGAUUUCCACACUUGUAAUCCUUUUGUCAAUUCUGAUAACUUUUGUAGCCUAGCCAUGGAUAAGGGGUAUUGUCUUGGUUCUUGAUUCUGUGAAUCUGAAUACUAAAAGUCUACUAAGUUUGGUCCCAUAUGAGCACCCAGUAGCCA